UAGCUACUACAUACGACCACUACACAUCAGCAGAGUUGAAUCUUAUACACAUCGAGGGCCGUUCAGAGUUUAGUGUAAGUUUGUCUGCUUCAUAUACAGAAUGAUAUUGUUAUUGUACAGUAUGGUAUUGUCCAUCUAUAUGUCCCCAAACUAAAUAGUUUCUCUCAUGUUUUUACUCUGUAGUAAUGUUCUUGUCAUCAUAUCUGUGCUGAACAAAUGUGUCCUGAGCUCUGACGUCUCUUUUAGAGGACAGUCUGAUGUAUGCUGAGGUCAAACAGCCCAAAAAAGAAAAAGCCAAGAAAAACAAAGGAAAAUCAAGUCCUGCAGCUGAUGCAGCAGUUUAUUCUGAAGUCACAUCAGGAAGCUCUCUCAGUCAGUGAGGAGAGCUGUAGCAGCAAAGCCAAGAAGAAGCUUUUUAUGAAGCCACUCUUGCUGCUCUGCUCCCCAAAUAUCAGACAUGCUCAGCUUUAUGUACAGUUACAAUAUUAAAUCAUUAUAUCAGACAUAAUGCUCUCUUUUAGUAUAAAACAAAUGCAGGUGUAUUCAUAUUUAAUAUUCAUGCUUUCUAUAUUCAGUUAUAUUUCAUAAAGAUUUUGUAAUAAACCUUGAAUGUAUCUAACAUGUUCCAACAGCAGUGAGAACAAAGUGUGAAAUAUGUGAUCUUUAGUAUCUGACAGCACAACUUAAAGUCAGUGUUUGCAGUGUUUCACAAGUAAAUACUGAUAUGGGACCAACAAAUACUUU